CCUACGGGGCGCAGCAGUGGGGAAUAUUGGACAAUGGGGGAAACCCUGAUCCAGCGACGCCGCGUGAGUGAAGAAGUAUUUCGGUACGUAAAGCUCUAUCAGCAGGAAAGAAAAUGACGGUACCUGACUAAGAAGCCCCGGCUAACUACGUGCCAGCAGCCGCGGUAAUACGUAGGGGGCAAGCGUUAUCCGGAUUUACUGGGUGUAAAGGGAGCGUAGGCGGUUCAGCAAGUCAGAAGUGAAAGCCCGGGGCUCAACUCCGGGACUGCUUUUGACACUGUUGAACUAGAUUGCAGGAGAGGUAA
rnacentral:rRNA from 1 species